rnacentral:lncRNA from 1 species
ACCAGCCCCAAGCUGUGAGCCCCAAUAGCACAAAGCUACUGCCCAAAGAAAUUAUACAAAAAUUGGAACUUUGGGAAUGGUGUGCAGGAUCGCUCUGCUGUAUGCCUGGAACACAGCUUCUCUAUGUUUUGUAUUGAUACCAGUCUAGAAGCUUCCAAAACUUUCUCACUGAAGAAGAUUCCCCAUGUGGGACCCCUACAGACUCUUUUGCCCAAACAACUGCUUCCCUCCUGAGAGAAAGACAUUAAAAAUGAAGAGACAUGCAGAGAGUGCACCAUGCCAUCGUGGAGACAGACUGAAGUGACACAACUGUUAGUCAAAGAGGAUUAAGGACUUCCAGAAGCCACCAAAGGAAGGAGGUAUGAAGUGGUUUCUCCCUCAGAGUAUCCAG